UAUGGAUAAUUGGUUUCGGAUUUAUGUAUUUAUACAUAGUGGUUUUCUAUCCCUCGAGGUAGUCGGUUUUCAAAAUAGAGUUUCCGUGUGGGAAACAGUUUUAAAGGAAUGGUUUUAUGAAUGAUUAAUUAGAGUUUAAAAAUCAAAGCUUCUGGAUGGAGAGCACUUUUAAAUAGGAUGCUUGUUGUACUGUGCACUACAUCAUCCAGCGCCUAAGGAGUGCUUAGAGACAUGCAUCAUCUCUAAGGAUCGCUAGCUGUAUGUAAAUGCAUCGCAUAUAUUAGUUGUUGAUUGGUGAAUGUAGGUUGUGGUUAAAAUCCUGAUAUAUUGUUGGUACGCCGUGCAAAUACAAAGGAGACUCUAUCCGAGUGGAUAGAGGAACUUU
rnacentral:lncRNA from 1 species